rnacentral:rRNA from 1 species
AUCUAUGCCUGGCCAGGAUGAAGCCAGAGGAAACUCUGGUGGAGGUCCGUAGCGAUUCUGACGUGCAAAUCGAUCGUCGGAGCUGUGCAUAGGGGCGAAAGACCUAUCGAACCAUCUAGUAGCUGGUUCCCUCCGAAGUUUCCCUCAGGAUAGCUGGUGCUCGUAUAUUGAAGGAGUUUCAUCCGGUAAAGAGAAUGAUUAGGGGUCCUUGGGGAUGAAAUUUCCUCAGCCCAUUCUCAAACUCUAAAUGGGUGAGAUAGCGUGCUUUCUUCACUGAAGCCUCGUUCCCGAAAAGAAUCCGAGUACCAAGUGGGCCAUUUUUGGUAAGCAGAACUGGCGCUGUGGGAUGAACCAAAAGUCGAGUUAAGGGGCCUAAGUAUCGGCUCAUUCAGAACCCUUGAAAGGCGUUGGUCGCUCAUGACAGCAGGUCGGUGGCCAUGGAAGUCGGCA